AUGGAUUUUUUUUUUCCUUGAAAGAUCGUACUGGGGGAAAAUGAUACUUCUAUUAGUUACAUAUUCUCCAAUCCCACACUCGCACCCCCCUCGUUCGGAGAUCGCUCCCCUAGGCAGGCUCGGGCUGGCGCGCCGAGUGACAAAGCCUCCGCUGUCGCCGCUGCCGCCACCGCGGGUGGGAGCCGCGCUCGCCUACCCACCCCUCGACUCCGGAGAGCGUAAAAGUUUGUCACAGCUCGCGUGUUUCGAGCCCCAACACGUCCUCAGCUGGCAGUAGACUCCAAUCACAGCUUGUAGCAGAUGUUCUCAAUAUCUCUGUUGAAAUUUCCUGAUCUCUACCUGCAAGAGGAGCUGUAGAGCUUCAUCCUGGUGGUACCUAUUGUCCUUGAUGUAAGCUAUUGUUCAUCAGGGAGGAGGCUUCAGGGAGAGAACUGGCUGGACCAGCUCGUCUGUCUUCGCUGUGGAGAAAAAAUUUGAAAUUCAUCUUUGUUGGUGAGAAGUUGUCUUGGGCAGAGUAAGAUGUGAACAGAAAAUAUUGUUCAUUACUUAC